rnacentral:rRNA from 1 species
ACGGGAGGCAGCAGUGGGGAAUAUUGCACAAUGGGCGAAAGCCUGAUGCAGCGACGCCGCGUGAGCGAAGAAGUAUUUCGGUAUGUAAAGCUCUAUCAGCAGGGAAGAUAAUGACGGUACCUGACUAAGAAGCACCGGCUAAAUACGUGCCAGCAGCCGCGGUAAUACGUAUGGUGCAAGCGUUAUCCGGAUUUACUGGGUGUAAAGGGAGCGUAGGCGGUUUUACAAGUCUGAUGUGAAAGCCCGGGGCCCAACUCCGGUACUGCAUUGGAAACUGUAGAACUAGAGUGUCGGAGGGGUAAGUGGAAUUCCUAGUGUAGCGGUGAAAUGCGUAGAUAUUAGGAGGAACACCAGUGGCGAAGGCGGCUUACUGGACGAUUACUGACGCUGAGGCUCGAAAGCGUGGGGAGCAAACAGGAUUAGAUACCCUGGUA